rnacentral:rRNA from 1 species
AUUGAACGCUGGCGGCAGGCCUAACACAUGCAAGUCGAGCGGAUGAAGGGAGCUUGCUCCUGGAUUCAGCGGCGGACGGGUGAGUAAUGCCUAGGAAUCUGCCUGGUAGUGGGGGAUAACGUCCGGAAACGGGCGCUAAUACCGCAUACGUCCUGAGGGAGAAAGUGGGGGAUCUUCGGACCUCACGCUAUCAGAUGAGCCUAGGUCGGAUUAGCUAGUUGGUGGGGUAAAGGCCUACCAAGGCGACGAUCCGUAACUGGUCUGAGAGGAUGAUCAGUCACACUGGAACUGAGACACGGUCCAGACUCCUACGGGAGGCAGCAGUGGGGAAUAUUGGACAAUGGGCGAAAGCCUGAUCCAGCCAUGCCGCGUGUGUGAAGAAGGUCUUCGGAUUGUAAAGCACUUUAAGUUGGGAGGAAGGGCAGUAAGUUAAUACCUUGCUGUUUUGACGUUACCAACGAAUAAGCACGGCAAUU